rnacentral:lncRNA from 1 species
CGACAAGGACCCCAAACAUCAGUGUGGACAAGUUCAAAAGGAGACUUUGCCCGAUUAUUCAAACGCUUUGGGAACGAGACACGAGUAUGUUUCCCAAGCUGACAGGACUCACACGCAAGCGACGACAAAGAUGAAAAACAAGGGACCAUUUUUUGGAACUUGGAUAGACUAGGGUGGCCCAGGCGACUGUGGAUGAGGAGGGGAGCAUUAGUGGAAAUGCAAACUGCAG